GAGAGAGAAAAAUAGAAACGGAGGUGAUGAUAUAUGAAGAACCAGAGCUGAGAUCGAAGACGACGAAAGAUCAGAGCUACGAUCAGCCCUAAGAUUCCAAGAGAAAAUUCAAUAGCUCACAAGAUCAAACAAAUGGAAGAACAAGAUCGAACCAACGUUGAUCCAACCCCCAUGUUUUGAGCACCACCACCGAGAACGCAGUCUUUGGAUGACAUAGCACUAUCACCGUCACCAUCCCAACUGUGUCAAUCAUCUGCGAAUUCUUGUGAAGAAAUUUACACUCCUCAAGUUAAAAAUGAAGUGAUACCGAAAAUUAAACAAGAAUUUGACAACUUAGACAAGAUUCUGAAUUUUUACAACAAUUAUGCUAGAGAAGCUGGAUUUAGUGUGCGAAUCAAUUCUAGUAGGACAGCUAAGAAUGGUCAAGUAAUGAGGAAGGAGUACGUUUGUUACAAAGAAGGGUCGAGGAGAAAUUCUGAGGCCACUUUAUGGUGUCUGGGUU